UUUUGUUUUCACAGACUAACUUUGCCUCUUAAUGGGGUCGUGACCUCCUCUUUGCUCAGAGCUGUCUGCAAGUCAUUCAAGCAAUUAGGUAAACUCUAGGUUGCUGUCCAUAGAGGACCGGUUGGCUGCUCUGGAGUCGAAAAACUGUGCGGGAGAGACAAACUUUAAGAAGAGAAGACUGGUGCACAAUCCCAAGCUUGCGGAAGCAGUACGCCGUCUUCACAACUCGGAGACAAAUUGCAGGCGCUACGAACCGGAGCAAGGACUAAUCUCGCCUCAUAAUGAGGCGGUGACCUCCUAUUUGCUCGGAGCAAUAUCUGCAAGUCCAGAUUUACACGAUGUUGAUAAAGACA